GCCUUCCUUCCCGAUGAAGAGGUCAAGCAUCCAUCCAGAUCACUUCGUGUGCCAUUAAGAGGUUCAACAGGGUCCAGUCUUGCAGGUUCACCAGCGAGUUCUUUGGAAAGACAUUCACCAAAAGAGGUUGAUGUUUUUCUAAGAACUGUCGCAGAUGGGGAUAUUGAGAUGGUUCGUUUUAGGCUCAGUCUUGAUGAAGAGGACGAGGAAGAUGCUGGUGACGUACAAUGCAUAUCAGAAAUGGAUUUAUGUCAUCCACUGUGUCAGUGUGACAAAUGCAUCAAAUGGCAAAAGUUGACCAGUCGAUCACUAGAGGAUAAUAUCCAUGUAAACUGUAGCAACAAGGAUGGUAUCACGCCUUUACAUGUAGCAGCAGUUAGAGGAUACAC